AGUCAUUAUUUUCCUUGCACGUAACCUUGCAAAGUCAGCGUCUACAUAAGCAACGUUAUCGUCGACUCCGGAAUACUGAACGGCUCGCGGAAACAUGGAAUAGAUGGGACUGCAGUAAUACUGUCAUACAUCAACUCAACCCACGAAGGAAGUUUCUUGUGUCGAUCUUAGGAAGUAGCAGAUAAUUGAAAUCACGUGUAUAGGAAGUUGUUUCAGCACGUGACUUGUUAAACGCUAAUGAAGAAAUGAAAGGAUAAAAAGGUACUUGAACAAUGAGGCUUGAUGUCGACGUGGCAGACAUCAGCUUAUUGCUGUGGCCUUCCGGAGGAUGGGAGAUUUUGCAGCAGGCGAACGUGACUUUCAUUAGUUAAGGCAUUGUGUACCUGCUCGUAUACUGGAAUGUAACGGAACUCGAUUGCUGGGUGCGGCUUGGUGCAUUCGGCAUUUGCUCUCGUCCACCUGGUUUGCAGUCUAGCCUCAACUCCGUAUUUUGCCGUGGAAUGUGGAUGCAGUAUGUGGUGAAUGUAUACAAGUUUUAUCAUUCUGAAGUUUCGAUGCACGCAGAAGUGAGUGCGUGCAUCGGUCAACGUUUUGACUCCAAAGCUACUUCUUGAAUUUCAUCCAAAUAUGAUGUUGGUAGAAUCGUAAUUAAAGUUGAAUUUUUCGUUGUUCUCAAGAAUGGCUCAUUAGUCAAAUAUUUUGUUCGUGACAUAAAAUUGUAGGUCUCAUUAAGAUCUGUAUUUGAUACUUUUUCUGGUCUCUUGAAUAUUUAAGUCUGUCCUUUGUCUCCACGAAAUGGCACGUCCUCAAGUUGCGGAUGGAGGUGGAAGCCUUCAGAUAUGGAGGAUGACUGCAUGUAUAUUGAAUAAGCAGCCGCAGACAGCCGACAAGGGGUAGCCCUCCAACUUUUGGGUUGGGUGGGCGUUUAAACAACUCCCACCUUAAAAAAGAUGUGUUACGAAAUGUUGCACAAGGCCUGGGAAUCGAGGAGAUGGCCGAGGUAUGUAGCGCGCGUGAUGUGAUGAGAAAUGUGUACAAAAUUUUCAGUAGAAAUCUUGAAAGACACCAUUCGGAAGAAAUCAAUGGAGAUAAGGGAUAAUAUUAAAAUGGUUUUUAGGGGAAAUAGAUUUUGGGCGUGUGGAUUUGAUUUGUCUGGCGCAAGAUAGGGACCGGUGGCAGUCUCUUGUGAACAGUGUGAUGAUCUUUCGGGUUUUAUGAAAGGCGCGGAGUGUCUUCUGGUUUUGUACUGUGUGCUCUCUGCGGUACUCAUAGUUUCGCUGCCGUUUUUCUCUUCUAUAAAUGAACAUCGCUGGUGAGGUAUGCAAAUUCGCUACGAACGCAUUUAGAAUGGGAUCCACGUUUCACUCCGGUCUUCCUUGGGAAGUACGACACACCACAAGGACGUAGGGACAAGCCAACGGCCUCUGAAAUGGUUGUGGUGGCGUUGGCGAAGAGGAUGAGAAUUGAAAAUGACGGUGAUGAGUUAAUGAAAUGUUUUAUUCUUUUAUUUACCGAGUAGUCAGAACUCUUUAACAGAACACGAUCAACGAACGUUUGUCACGACUGUCAAGGGCUCCCCAAAGAGACUUCUGCCGCUUAGCUGACAUUGCUUCUGUACAAAGUCCCGUACUGCAAACAUGAAAUCGGGCAGAAACAUGAUUCUUAAUAUGAGCUGUUUCGGCAGGUGUCCAUUAA